rnacentral:tRNA from 1 species
AGCCUUAUAGUUUAAUUGGUUAAAACAUCUAUCUUCGAAAUAGAAGAUUAAAGGUUCAAUUCUUUUUAAGGCGG